rnacentral:rRNA from 1 species
GAUGAACGCUAGCGAUAGGCUUAACACAUGCAAGUCGAGGGGUAACGUGUUGGAAGCUUGCUUCCGAUGACGACGACCGGCGGAUGGGUGCGUAACGCGUAUGCAACUUGCCUCACAGUGGAGAAUAACCCGGAGAAAUCCGGACUAAUACUCCAUACACUCUUAAGUACGCCUGUACAUGAGAGGAAAGAUUUAUCGCUGUGAGAUAGGCAUGCGUCCUAUUAGGUAGUUGGUGAGGUAACGGCUCACCAAGCCGACGAUAGGUAGGGGUGCUGAGAGGCAGAUCCCCCACAUUGGGACUGAGACACGGCCCAAACUCCUACGGGAGGCAGCAGUGAGGAAUAUUGGCCAAUGGAGGAAACUCUGAACCAGCCAAGUCGCGUGAAGGAAGAAUGUCCUAAGGAUUGUAAACUUCUUUAGCGAGCGAGUAAGGACUUCCACGUGAUGGGAGUUUGAAAGUAGCUCGAGAAUAAGUAUCGGCUAACUCCGUG